UAACUCUUGUAAGCUAUAUAAGCUAUUAAGUUCAUACCUUAAAUAAGGAUUUGUCCCGUGAGUUUUUGUUUUCCUUCAAAACAUCUCUAGAGUAUAAGACCAUGGAUAAAUAUCCAGAUCUGGAAUUUUUCUACAACGGCAUAAUAUACAUCGCGAGGCUAAAUGCGUGCCAGCAACCGCGGAUAUACGCACUACGCAUGACGAAAUAAAUAUUAUUGAUUGAUCGAACAGCAGGUAAUAUUAAUAAAGAAGAAAGGCUGGUGAUGUGAAGGAGGCUAGAUAGCUCCGUAAUACAGUUAAACCGAAUUGAGCAGUUAAAAACUUAGAAAACCUGGCAGAAGCAUAAUAAAAAGGCUCAUUGAAGUAUAGAUAACCCGCUAUGUUGCUAAAGUAUUAAAAUAGUGUAUUGCUGAUACGGCACUCCUACAGGAGGGCCGACUCCUCAAGCCUUAAUGCUUUUGCUUAGUGUAUGUUUGAGAGACAAGGAUUUUGCAGUAAUAUUAAAUUAAUGAAUAAUUCAAGCUUUGUACAUAUUGCCCGUCACCUCUUCUAUCUCAGAAGAGAAAGUCGACACAUAGUAGGUGUAGUGGAAAUUGCACCUGAUCGGAAUAGAUAUGUCCACCAAGAAAAGAACAAAAACAUCCGACCGCGCACGUAACCCCAUACCCAAUGAACAUAUACCUA
rnacentral:rRNA from 1 species